GGUUAAGCGACUAAGCGUACACGGUGGAUGCCCUGGCAGUCAGAGGCGAUGAAGGACGUGCUAAUCUGCGAUAAGCGUCGGUAAGGUGAUAUGAACCGUUAUAACCGGCGAUUUCCGAAUGGGGAAACCCAGUGUGUUUCGACACACUAUCAUUAACUGAAUCCAUAGGUUAAUGAGGCGAACCGGGGGAACUGAAACAUCUAAGUACCCCGAGGAAAAGAAAUCAACCGAGAUUCCCCCAGUAGCGGCGAGCGAACGGGGAGCAGCCCAGAGCCUGAAUCAGUGUGUGUGUUAGUGGAAGCGUCUGGAAAGGCGCGCGAUACAGGGUGACAGCCCCGUACACAAAAAUGCACAUAUUGUGAGCUCGAUGAGUAGGGCGGGACACGUGGUAUCCUGUCUGAAUAUGGGGGGACCAUCCUCCAAGGCUAAAUACUCCUGACUGACCGAUAGUGAACCAGUACCGUGAGGGAAAGGCGAAAAGAACCCCGGCGAGGGGAGUGAAAAAGAACCUGAAACCGUGUACGUACAAGCAGUGGGAGCACGCUUAGGCGUGUGACUGCGUACCUUUUGUAUAAUGGGUCAGCGACUUAUAUUCUGUAGCAAGGUUAACCGAAUAGGGGAGCCGAAGGGAAACCGAGUCUUAACUGGGCGUUAAGUUGCAGGGUAUAGACCCGAAACCCGGUGAUCUAGCCAUGGGCAGGUUGAAGGUUGGGUAACACUAACUGGAGGACCGAACCGACUAAUGUUGAAAAAUUAGCGGAUGACUUGUGGCUGGGGGUGAAAGGCCAAUCAAACCGGGAGAUAGCUGGUUCUCCCCGAAAGCUAUUUAGGUAGCGCCUCGUGAAUUCAUCUCCGGGGGUAGAGCACUGUUUCGGCAAGGGGGUCAUCCCGACUUACCAACCCGAUGCAAACUGCGAAUACCGGAGAAUGUUAUCACGGGAGACACACGGCGGGUGCUAACGUCCGUCGUGAAGAGGGAAACAACCCAGACCGCCAGCUAAGGUCCCAAAGUCAUGGUUAAGUGGGAAACGAUGUGGGAAGGCCCAGACAGCCAGGAUGUUGGCUUAGAAGCAGCCAUCAUUUAAAGAAAGCGUAAUAGCUCACUGGUCGAGUCGGCCUGCGCGGAAGAUGUAACGGGGCUAAACCAUGCACCGAAGCUGCGGCAGCGACACUUAUGUGUUGUUGGGUAGGGGAGCGUUCUGUAAGCCUGUGAAGGUGUGCUGUGAGGCAUGCUGGAGGUAUCAGAAGUGCGAAUGCUGACAUAAGUAACGAUAAAGCGGGUGAAAAGCCCGCUCGCCGGAAGACCAAGGGUUCCUGUCCAACGUUAAUCGGGGCAGGGUGAGUCGACCCCUAAGGCGAGGCCGAAAGGCGUAGUCGAUGGGAAACAGGUUAAUAUUCCUGUACUUGGUGUUACUGCGAAGGGGGGACGGAGAAGGCUAUGUUGGCCGGGCGACGGUUGUCCCGGUUUAAGCGUGUAGGCUGGUUUUCCAGGCAAAUCCGGAAAAUCAAGGCUGAGGCGUGAUGACGAGGCACUACGGUGCUGAAGCAACAAAUGCCCUGCUUCCAGGAAAAGCCUCUAAGCAUCAGGUAACAUCAAAUCGUACCCCAAACCGACACAGGUGGUCAGGUAGAGAAUACCAAGGCGCUUGAGAGAACUCGGGUGAAGGAACUAGGCAAAAUGGUGCCGUAACUUCGGGAGAAGGCACGCUGAUAUGUAGGUGAAGUCCCUCGCGGAUGGAGCUGAAAUCAGUCGAAGAUACCAGCUGGCUGCAACUGUUUAUUAAAAACACAGCACUGUGCAAACACGAAAGUGGACGUAUACGGUGUGACGCCUGCCCGGUGCCGGAAGGUUAAUUGAUGGGGUUAGCCGCAAGGCGAAGCUCUUGAUCGAAGCCCCGGUAAACGGCGGCCGUAACUAUAACGGUCCUAAGGUAGCGAAAUUCCUUGUCGGGUAAGUUCCGACCUGCACGAAUGGCGUAAUGAUGGCCAGGCUGUCUCCACCCGAGACUCAGUGAAAUUGAACUCGCUGUGAAGAUGCAGUGUACCCGCGGCAAGACGGAAAGACCCCGUGAACCUUUACUAUAGCUUGACACUGAACAUUGAGCCUUGAUGUGUAGGAUAGGUGGGAGGCUUAGAAGUGUGGACGCCAGUCUGCAUGGAGCCGACCUUGAAAUACCACCCUUUAAUGUUUGAUGUUCUAACGUUGACCCGUAAUCCGGGUUGCGGACAGUGUCUGGUGGGUAGUUUGACUGGGGCGGUCUCCUCCUAAAGAGUAACGGAGGAGCACGAAGGUUGGCUAAUCCUGGUCGGACAUCAGGAGGUUAGUGCAAUGGCAUAAGCCAGCUUGACUGCGAGCGUGACGGCGCGAGCAGGUGCGAAAGCAGGUCAUAGUGAUCCGGUGGUUCUGAAUGGAAGGGCCAUCGCUCAACGGAUAAAAGGUACUCCGGGGAUAACAGGCUGAUACCGCCCAAGAGUUCAUAUCGACGGCGGUGUUUGGCACCUCGAUGUCGGCUCAUCACAUCCUGGGGCUGAAGUAGGUCCCAAGGGUAUGGCUGUUCGCCAUUUAAAGUGGUACGCGAGCUGGGUUUAGAACGUCGUGAGACAGUUCGGUCCCUAUCUGCCGUGGGCGCUGGAGAACUGAGGGGGGCUGCUCCUAGUACGAGAGGACCGGAGUGGACGCAUCACUGGUGUUCGGGUUGUCAUGCCAAUGGCACUGCCCGGUAGCUAAAUGCGGAAGAGAUAAGUGCUGAAAGCAUCUAAGCACGAAACUUGCCCCGAGAUGAGUUCUCCCUGACUCCUUGAGAGUCCUGAAGGAACGUUGAAGACGACGACGUUGAUAGGCCGGGUGUGUAAGCGCAGCGAUGCGUUGAGCUAACCGGUACUAAUGAACCGUGAGGCUUAACCUU
rnacentral:rRNA from 1 species